rnacentral:rRNA from 1 species
UACGGAGGGGGCAAGCGUUGUUCGGAAUUACUGGGCGUAAAGCGCACGUAGGCGGACUGGAAAGUCAGAGGUGAAAUCCCAGGGCUCAACCUUGGAACUGCCUUUGAAACUAUCAGUCUGGAGUUCGAGAGAGGUGAGUGGAAUUCCGAGUGUAGAGGUGAAAUUCGUAGAUAUUCGGAGGAACACCAGUGGCGAAGGCGGCUCACUGGCUCGAUACUGACGCUGAGGUGCGAAAGCGUGGGGAGCAAAC